UACAGAGGGUGCAAGCGUUGUUCGGAAUUAUUGGGCGUAAAGCGCGUGUAGGCGGCUUUGCAAGUCGGGUGUGAAAGCCCUCAGCUUAACUGAGGAAGUGCGCCCGAAACUGCAGAGCUUGAGUACCGGAGAGGGUGGCGGAAUUCCCCAAGUAGAGGUGAAAUUCGUAGAUAUGGGGAGGAACACCGGUGGCGAAGGCGGCCACCUGGACAGAUACUGACGCUGAGACGCGAAAGCGUGGGUAGCAAACAGG
rnacentral:rRNA from 1 species